rnacentral:rRNA from 1 species
UACGGGAGGCAGCAGUGGGGAAUAUUGGACAAUGGGCGAAAGCCUGAUCCAGCCAUGCCGCAUGAGUGAAGAAGGCCUUCGGGUUGUAAAGCUCUUUUAGUGAGAAAGAUAAUGACGGUACUCACAGAAGAAGUCCUGGCUAACUCCGUGCCAGCAGCCGCGGUAAUACGGAGAGGGCUAGCGUUAUUCGGAAUUAUUGGGCGUAAAGAGCGCGUAGGCUGAUUAGUAAGUUAAAAGUGAAAUCCCAAAGCUUAACUUUGGAAUUGCUUUUUAAAACUGCUAGUCUAGAGAUUUGAAAGAGGAUAGAGGAACUCCUAGUGUAGAGGUGAAAUUCGUAAAUAUUAGGAGGAACACCAGUGGCGAAGGCGUCUAUCUGGUUCAAAUCUGACGCUGAGGCGCGAAGGGCGUGGGGAGCGAAACAGGGAUUAGAUACC